rnacentral:rRNA from 1 species
GAUGAACGCUGGCGGCGUGCCUAAUACAUGCAAGUCGAACGAAGAUUGUAGCAAUACAGUCUUAGUGGCGAACGGGUGAGUAACGCGUUGGUGACCUGCCCCGAAGUGGGGGAUAACAGCUCGAAAGGGCUGCUAAUACCCCAUGUAAUCCUUCAGACUAGAUGCUGAUUGAUUAAAGGAUUUAUUCGCUUCGGGAGGGGCCUGCGUCCCAUCAGCUAGUUGGUAGGGUAACGGCCUACCAAGGCGAUGACGGGUAGGGGACCUGAGAGGGUGACCCCCCACACUGACACUGAAACACGGGUCAGACACCUACGGGUGGCUG